rnacentral:rRNA from 1 species
ACCUAGAGAUAGGAGAUAUAAGCACACACAGGUGGUGCAUGGUUGUCGUCAGCUCGUGUCGUGAGAUGUUGGGUUAAGUCCCGGCAACGAGCGCAACCCUUGUCUUUAGUUACCAUCAUUAAGUUGGGGACUCUAGAGAGACUGCCGGUGGAUAAACCGGGGGAAGGUGGGGAUGACGUCAAAUCAUCAUGCCCCUUAUGACCUGGGCUACACACGUACUACAAUGGCGUAUACAACGAGCUGCAAGAUGGUGACAUCAAGCGAAUCUCUUAAAAUGCGUCUCAGUUCGGAUUGGAGUCUGCAACUCGACUCCAUGAAGUCGGAAUCGCUAGUAAUCGCGGAUCAGCAUGCCGCGGUGAAUACGUUCUCGGGGUUU